UGACGGAAAACAAAAAUUUGUAUUUAAUUUCGACUUAAACCUCUGGUAAAUCUUAAUUUACCUCCGUUAA
rnacentral:tRNA from 1 species